rnacentral:rRNA from 1 species
UACGUAGGGGGCGAGCGUUGUCCGGAGUUACUGGGCGUAAAGGGCGUGCAGGCGGUGGUGCGCGUUUUGUGGGACAGCGCAAGGCUUAACUUUGCGAGGAUACGAAAGACGGCAGCACUUGAGAGCGCGAGAGGGACACGGAAUUCCGGGUGGAGUGGUGAAAUGCGUAGAGAUCCGGAGGAACACCGAAGGCGAAGGCAGUGUCCUGGCGCGCAUCUGACGCUGAGGCGCGAAAGCCAGGGGAGCGAACGGG